AGAGUUUGAUCAUGGCUCAGGACGAACGCUGGCGGCGUGCCUAAUACAUGCAAGUUGCAACGCAACAUAAACACCAGAGCUUGCUCUACCGUUUAUGUUGAGUAGCGAACGGGUGAGUAACGCGUGGGUAACCUGCCUUAUAGCGGGGGAUAACUAUUGGACAACGAUAGCUAAUACCGCAUAACAAUGUUAGAUGCAUAUUUAACAUUUGAAAGUACCAAUUGGUACACUAUGAGAUGGACCCGCGUUGUAUUAGCUAGUUGGUAGUGUAAUGGACUACCAAGGCGAUGAUACAUAGCCGACCUGAGAGGGUGAUCGGCCACAUUGGGACUGAGACACGGCCCAAACUCCUACGGGAGGCAGCAGUAGGGAAUCUUCGGCAAUGGACGAAAGUCUGACCGAGCAACGCCGCGUGAGUGAAGAAGGUUUUCGGAUCGUAAAACUCUGUUGUUAGAGAAGAACGUUGAUUAGAGUGGAAAAUUAAUCAAGUGACGGUAUCUAACCAGAAAGGGACGGCUAACUACGUGCCAGCAGCCGCGGUAAUACGUAGGUCCCGAGCGUUGUCCGGAUUUAUUGGGCGUAAAGCGAGCGCAGGUGGUUUAAUAAGUCUGAUGUAAAAGGCAGUGGCUCAACCAUUGUGUGCAUUGGAAACUGUUAGACUUGAGUGCAGUAGAGGAGAGUGGAAUUCCAUGUGUAGCGGUGAAAUGCGUAGAUAUAUGGAGGAACACCGGUGGCGAAAGCGGCUCUCUGGACUGUCACUGACACUGAGGCUCGAAAGCGUGGGUAGCAAACAGGAUUAGAUACCCUGGUAGUCCACGCCGUAAACGAUGAGUGCUAGUUGUUUGGGGCUAUCCAGCCCUAAGUGACGCAGCGA
rnacentral:rRNA from 1 species